AUUGAACGCUGGCGGCAUGCCUAAUACAUGCAAGUCGAGCGAACAGAUGAAGUGCUUGCACUUCUGACGUUAGCGGCGAACGGGUGAGUAACACGUAAGGAAUCUACCUAUAAGCGGGGGAUAACAUUCGGAAACGGGUGCUAAUACCGCAUAAUAUCUUCUCCCGCAUGGAAGAAGAUUGAAAGACGGCUCUGCUGUCAAUUAUAGAUGACCUUGCGUUGCAUGAGUUAGUUGGUGGGGUAACGGCCUACCAAGACGAUGAUGCAUAGCCGACCCGAGAGGGUGAUGGGCCACAUUGGGACUGAGACACGGCCCAAACUCCUACGGGAGGCAGCAGUAGGGAAUCUUCCGCAAUGGGCGAAAGCCUGACGGAGCAAUGCCGCGUGAGUGAAGAAGGCCUUCGGGUCGUAAAACUCUGUUAUAAGAGAAGAACAAAUUGUAGAGUAACUGCUACAGUCUUGACGGUAUCUUAUCAGAAAGCCACGGCUAACUACGUGCCAGCAGCCGCGGUAA
rnacentral:rRNA from 1 species